UACGUAGGGUCCGAGCGUUGUCCGGAGUUACUGGGCGUAAAGCGCGCGCAGGCGGCGGUGUUGGCCCGGCGUGAAAGCCCCCGGCUCAACCGGGGAGAGUCGUCGGGGACCGCACCGCUUGAGGGCGGUAGGGGCUGGUGGAAUGCCUGGUGUAGUGGUGAAAUGCGUAGAGAUCGGCAGGAACACCCAGGGGGAAACCAGCGGACUGGCUCGUUGCUGACACUGAGGUGCGACAGCGUGGGGAGCGAACGGG
rnacentral:rRNA from 1 species